rnacentral:tRNA from 1 species
GGGUCGGUGGCGUAGCUGGUUAUCGCAUCUGUCUAACACACAGAAGGUCCUCAGUUCGAUCCUGGGCCAACUCA